UACGUAGGGUGCAAGCGUUGUCCGGAAUUAUUGGGCGUAAAGAGCUCGUAGGCGGUCUGUCGCGUCGGCUGUGAAAACUUGGGGCUUAACCCUGAGCUUGCGGUCGAUACGGGCAUGACUGGAGUUCGGCAGGGGAGACUGGAAUUCCUGGUGUAGCGGUGAAAUGCGCAGAUAUCAGGAGGAACACCGGUGGCGAAGGCGGGUCUCUGGGCAACAACGUGACGCUGGAGGAGCGAAAGCGUGGGGAGCGAACAGG
rnacentral:rRNA from 1 species